AAACACGAUGAAUGGCCAAAAUUACCUUUUUUCUUAAAUUAAUACUCUUCCGUCUCACUCUUCGCAUUUCUCCCUUUAUUUCUUUCCUCAGUCUCACUCUCCAUCUCUUCACCGUCAUGUCACCACCACCACUACCACCGGACGAAACUUCUUCUUCUCAUCAAUCAUCAAACGAGACUUCAAAACGUAACUUAUUCUUCUACCACGAUAACCAGAAUCACCUUCGUCUUCGUCUUCUCGGUAGUUUUCCUCCUACUCCAACUAGUAAGUGUCAUCCAGUUUACUACAGUGGUGAAUAACUAUUGGAUGUCAGAUGCUACAUUAAAUGGAAGGUAAGAAUGAUCCAUCCUCGCAUUUCACAUGUGUCUAUGAUGGAGGAGGGAAUGGUAAACGUUCAUGUUGCCCUCAGAUACCUACAUGAAGCCCUGAAAUGUAAUGAGAGGCUAUUGGGUGCUGACCAUAUACAGGUUGCUGCUGCAUGGCUCGAGUAUUUUGAAUCAAAAGUCUUAGAACAGCAAGAAGUCGCUCGCAAUGGUACUCCAAAACCAGAUGCUUCCAUUGCUAGAAAAGGCCACCUUAGGAUCAUGCUCCCAUGUUGCAUCAGCAUUGUCCUUUGGACACACUGAGGAAUUCUCGCUAGGUGUGAUGGGGUUGCGUUCAGGUCAAUAUCUUCCACUUCCUGUAUAUAACGGGAGAUAGAUUUUGUAAAUGAGCUGGUGAAUACUCUUGCUGUAAAUGGAACCGAAGGUUCCGACUAUAAGGGAGGGAGAAAAGGGACGACUCAGGCAAGUGUCGACAUUUGAUUUGGGCAUGUUUAGAGCUUCGUCAAGGGUCCUAAAGUUUGUGCGUUGUCGCAAUGGUAUUUCCAUGAUCUUGCUCAAAUCAACCUCCUUAGCUUUACGACCAACUCUGGUUGGUUUUCUUGAAGACAUGUCAACAGAUAACAUAUGCAGAUGUAAAGUAGUCCCACUAAUGGAAGUAUCACAAUUACUGCAGCUGAGAAGCAAAGACCUGCAAAGGUAUGCUGGAGUUUUCUUCUCUCUUUUAGUUCAGCUAGGUGUGUAGGACAAUUAAAGUGAAGAACUCAAGGUAAAAUAAAAUACCUACACAACUAGUUUUUGACACUAUAAUUAAUGUAAAAGGUCUACAUAUGUGAUUGGAAGGGAAGCUAAGGUAUGGAACUGUGUGCUUGAGAAGUCAGAAAAGAUGGCAGGAAUUGAGAGAGGAAGCAUCAGAGAUAUUGUACUGAUUCAGACUCUUGCCUUGCAAAUGGAUGAAAUCCUCUAUGAUUUAUGUGAUCACUCAGUUGGGUUGAAUUGUGGCAAGUCAGAAACUCUCUUUGUACCCUGCAUAGCUAUUAGAGAUAUGCUUAAAAAGCACAUCUGAUAUGUAAAUUCGAUUGUGAUCCUACACAUGCAUGGAGAGCAAGGCAUUUUGCAGGCAUGGAGUGUAAGAACACCCAGAAUCUUGAGGUAUACAAUAGUUUGAAUUAUUACUGGUAGUAUUUCUUUCUUCCCUCACUCGUUCUAUCAACUGAUAAAGCUAAUCAUGAUGUUGACUGUAAAAUAGAUUGAGUCCUCUAUCCAAUGAUAACUAGCUACAACUGAAUUGCUAGAAGAUUUCUUGACAUCAUUACAGUUUUCAGAUAUGCAGUUAAAUUUAAGUGAUUGAACUGCAGAUGAUUACAAAAUGAGGUGGAGAUAUGAUGAAUUACCUGGGGUGAAGACAGAUCUGAAAUUGAUUUUGGAACUCUGUUUUUGUAGUUGAUUGUGAUCUCAAAUUAGUUUGAAUGUAAAGAGAGAUCUGAAAUUGAUUUUUGAACAGUUUUUGUAGUUGAUUGUUAUCUCAAGUUGAUUUGAAUGUAAGUUUACUUUUGAUUUUCCUGAAGGAAAUCAAACAACUCUGUUGUUGUAGUUGAAUGUGAUC